UUCACCUACGGGGGGCAGCAGUAGGGAAUCUUUCACAAUGGGCGAAAGCCUGAUGGAGCAACGCCGCGUGCAGGAUGAAGGCCUUCGGGUUGUAAACUGCUUUUAUAAGCGAGAAAUAUGAUGGUAACUUAUGAAUAAGCUCCGGCUAACUACGUGCCAGCAGCCGCGGUAAUACGUAGGGAGCAAGCGUUAUCCGGAUUUAUUGGGUGUAAAGGGUGCGUAGACGGGAAAUUAAGUUAGUUGUGAAAUCCCUCGGCUUAACUGAGGAACUGCAACUAAAACUGAUUUUCUUGAGUGUUGGAGAG
rnacentral:rRNA from 1 species